rnacentral:rRNA from 1 species
CCAGACUCCUACGGGAGGCAGCAGUGGGGGAUAUUGCACAAUGGGGGGAACCCUGAUGCAGCGACGCCGCGUGAGCGAUGAAGUAUUUCGGUAUGUAAAGCUCUAUCAGCAGGGAAGAAAAUGACGGUACCUGACUAAGAAGCCCCGGCUAACUACGUGCCAGCAGCCGCGGUAAUACGUAGGGGGCAAGCGUUAUCCGGAUUUACUGGGUGUAAAGGGAGCGUAGACGGCUGUGCAAGCCAGAUGUGAAAGCCCGGGGCUCAACCCCGGGACUGCAUUGGGAACUACCGGGCUGGAGUGCCGGAGAGGUAGGCGGAAUUCCUAGUGUAGCGGUGAAAUGCGUAGAUAUUAGGAGGAACACCAGUGGCGAAGGCGGCCUACUGGACGGUGACUGACGCUGAGGCUCGAAAGCGUGGGGAGCAAACAGGAUUAGAUACCCCCGUAAU